GAAGAUUCACCUGGUAAAAUGGGAGAAGACAGGCAAACUGAACCUGAGCACAGCCUGAGUGAGUUUCAUUCUCAAAUUCAGUAUAAAGAUUAAAGAAGAGAAUCCCCUUCAUGUCCUCUGAUCUCCACACUUCAUGCCUGUAGUGCCCAAUAAUAAACAAACAAACAAGCAUUAAGUAUCUUCCAUGAGGGCUAGCGAGAUGCUUUAGUGAUUAAGAACACGUACUGUUCUUGCAGAAGACCAGACUUUAGGUUCUAUCAUCUCAUCAGAUGGCUCACAACUGUGAAAGUGGAAGGAAGCCUCAAAGCAACAUCUGAGUUUGUCUUCUGACCUCCACAUCUGCCUGCUGUGUGCACAUCCACCUAUUGUUGGGAUGACAUUCCUUACUUGGUAUGAAGGUAUCUCUGGAUAAAAUGGCUAAGGGUCCUGGAAUGCCUACUGCACAACCAAUGUGUUAGCCAGUGUUACAGCCUGGUACAUCUAUCAAGAAACCCAUGUCCCAGAUGGAGGUAGAUGCAUGGAGCUUUCACAGGGCAGACGGGGGAGAGGCCCUUAACAAUAAGCAACAGACACUGUUUAAAUUUGGCAUUUAACUCAGCCAAGAACAUAUGUACAUAAAGUUUAUCCCAGCCAGAUUAAACUCCUGAAGUCCUGCGGCACCAGUGCUCAGCAAGAUUGAUCACUGACUGAAACUUAGUUACUGACAUUGAAGAAGAACGAAGCAACAUGGAAUAAGCACUGAAGAAUCUAAUGGAUUUCAUACUUUGUUCUUUUCCUCAUGUUCCUGGGGAUGGAAUUCAAGCCUCAGGUUUAUGGUCUGUAACGACUGCUCUCAUCCAUCCUGGCAAGCUACCAUUCUCCAUGCAGCUUCACAGGAAAUUGGAACUUUGGAGAAUUACUCCAAGAAAGCCAUAAAAUAUGAAGAGCUGUAAAGGUACUAGGAAAUGUUCCUUUGACUCAAACUGCACACUAUUGACUGGAUAUGCUCAGAGAUGACCUGGAAUAGACUGACUCUGUGCAGAGAGACAGAGAGAGAGAGACAAGAGGAGCCCUCAGUCAUCCAGGUGCAUUUGCUUAUAUGAAUCCAGCCUAAUGGAAGAGGACCCAGUUCUUCCCUGAGGAAGAAGAGCUCCUCCUCAUUGUGAGCAUAACAAAAAUCCGGGCCUCCUUUCUGGAGAGAAAUGAUGAUAUGAGUUACGUGAUGCUCCUCUCCAACCUGCCAAGAGGAAACAACUUGUCACAAUUCUUAGAGGUCUCAGACCCCUUCUUUUACAACACACAUGAAGCCCAGCCCAUACCAGUGAUUGUA